UACGUAGGGUGCGAGCGUUGUCCGGAAUUACUGGGCGUAAAGAGCUCGUAGGUGGUUUGUCGCGUUGUUCGUGAAAUUCCCUGGCUUAACUGGGGGUGUGCGGGCGAUACGGGCAGACUGGAGUACUGCAGGGGAGACUGGAAUUCCUGGUGUAGCGGUGGAAUGCGCAGAUAUCAGGAGGAACACCGGUGGCGAAGGCGGGUCUCUGGGCAGUAACUGACGCUGAGGAGCGAAAGCGUGGGGAGCGAACAGG
rnacentral:rRNA from 1 species